CCUACGGGUGGCUGCAGUGGGGAAUAUUGGACAAUGGGGGCAACCCUGAUCCAGCCAUGCCGCGUGUGUGAAGAAGGCCCUCGGGUUGUAAAGCACUUUCAGUGAGGAAGAACGCCUGGUGGUUAAUACCCAUCAGGAAAGACAUCACUCACAGAAGAAGCACCGGCUAACUCCGUGCCAGCAGCCGCGAUAAUACGGAGGGUGCGAGCGUUAAUCGGAAUUACUGGGCGUAAAGCGCGCGUAGGUGGCUUGAUAAGCCGGUUGUGAAAGCCCCGGGCUCAACCUGGGAACGGCAUCCGGAACUGUCAAGCUAGAGUGCAGGAGAGGAAGGUAGAAUUCCCGGUGUAGCGGUGAAAUGCGUAGAGAUCGGGAGGAAUACCAGUGGCGAAGGCGGCCUUCUGGACUGACACUGACACUGAGGUGCGAAAGCGUGGGUAGCAAACAGGAUUAGAUACCCUAGUAGUC
rnacentral:rRNA from 1 species